CACCUACGGGAGGCUGCAGGGAUGAAUAUUCCGCAAUGGGCGAAAGCCUGACGGAGCGACGCCGCGUGUGGGAAGAAGCUCUUCGGAGUGUAAACUACCGUCAGGAGUUACCAAGCAAAUUCCUUAAAUAGAGGAAGGCGUUGAGGAGCUCCAGAGGAAGCCACGGCUAACUUCGUGCCAGCAGCCGCGGUAAGACGAAGGUGGCAAGCGUUGUUCGGAAUCACUGGGCUUAAAGAGCACGUAGGCGGCCUGUUAAGCGUUUUGUGAAAUCCCUCGGCUCAACCGAGGAAUUGCUUGGCGAACUGGCAGUCUUGAGGCAGGUAGGGGCAACUGGAACUCAUGGUGGAGCGGUGGAAUGCGUAGAUAUCAUGAGGAACGCCGGAGGCGAAGGCGAGUUGCUGGGCCUGUCCUGACGCUGAGGUGCGAAAGCCAGGGUAGCAAACGGGAUUAGAUACCCCGGUAGUCCUGGCCCUAAACGAUGUCCACUAGGUCGGAGGCACUCUGACGUGUUUCUGGCCGAAAUGAAAACGGUAAGUGGACCGCCUGGGGAGUACGGUCGCAAGGCUAAAACUCAAAGGAAUUGACGGGGGCUCCCACAAGCGGUGGAG
rnacentral:rRNA from 1 species